AAGAGUUUAGUUUAGUCGGUAAAAUCCAGAAUUUCAAAUUCUGUGUGACGUGUUCAAAUCACGUAACUCUUG
rfam:Chrysochromulina sp. CCMP291 CAF.Contig9355, whole genome shotgun sequence.